rnacentral:lncRNA from 1 species
CUUGUCUAGCACAACCUAUGUGUGCCACACAGGCUCCUUCCAAACAUCGUGGUGUUAAAUGUGCUUCGGCAAUGACUUGAGAGUAAGCUAUCUUGGCAGGGAGAAAUGAGUCUAUUCUCCAUGGUCCUUUCAAUCCCUGGCCUCUCUGCUCAGCCUGCCAGCCCUCAUGUCAGCAGGGAGGGACUGUCUUAGAUUGGGCUGACUGCUCCAUAAAAUACCCCAAUGGCUCGUGUGAGUCCUGGAGCCCCCAGAUGUGCCUAAUUCUGCUGGACAGUGAAAUCCCUUUGAGAGAUGAUGGUUUGAAGCAAAGGCAGGUUGCUUGGACCACUCACACCUGAAGCCUUGUGUCAUUCCCUGGCUCUUCUCCCCUGGAUGAAGCUUUAUUUCAAAGUUUGGAGCUGGAGUGACAUCUGGAGAUGAUUCCCUUUCCUCCUCUCCUCUGCAGUGCAGGAGUGUGUGACCUUCUUCAUCAAACGUAGAUGUACCAGCUAGUCACGUGCCACUAAUGCUGAAUGAAUCUGGGAAGGAAGAAGUGCUGGCCUGUCAACUCUCAUUAAAAAAACGAAUAGGAAGAGGACCAAGUGCUGGCUGUCCAUGUGCAUGGAUGUGUGCUGCAGAUCCUGGGGAAGCAGAACGCUUUUGCCUUCAUUUUGGCUCUGUUGAGGUCUGACACAAGAGGCAGAGGUGAGCAUGCUGAAUAUGGGCAAGAUGCCCUCAAAUCUGCCUCUGCUUCCCUCCCUCAGUGUGCAUCUUGUGCAAGGCAAGUGGGCUGCAAGCAUUGUUUGAGGGUAAACAGGUAGAGGAUGUUGAUGAUUUCAGUAAGUGUACAAACUGCUUUUCAAGUAUGCUUAUAUUAGGGCCAUACUGUGUAAUAUCCACAAGCUCUGGUCUAAUUUAGCUUCAUGGCAGUAGCUUGAGUGAAUAGUGUUCACCCGGAAUG